CAAGACUGCUAGCACGGACCAGAGAUAAUUACUGUCUCUGAGCGUCGCUGAGAGAGAGAGAGGAUUAGGCUGUGGUGAGAGAGACUACUGUCUCUGAGAGUGGCUGAGAGAGAGAGAGAGAGAGAGAGAGAGAGGAUUAGGCUGUGGUGAGAGAGACUACUGUCUCUGAGCGUGGCUGAGAGAGAGAGAGAGAGAGAGAGAGAGAGAGAGAGAGAGAGGAUUAGGCUGUGGUGAGAGAGACUACUGUCUCUGAGCGUGGCUGAGAGAGAGAGAGAGAGAGAGAGAGAGAGAGGACUAGGCUGUGGUGAGAGAGACUACUGUCUCUGAGCGUGGCUGAGAGAGAGAGAGAGAGAGACUAGGCUAGAAAGAGAGAGAGAGGACUAGGCUGUGGUGAGAGAGACUACUGUCUCUGAGCGUGGCUGAGAGAGAGAGAGAGAGAGAGAGAGAGAGAGAGAGAGGACUAGGCUGUGGUGAGAGAGACUACUGUCUCUGAGCGUGGCUGAGAGAGAGAGAGAGAGAAAGUGGGAGAGAGAGGACUAGGCUGUGGUGAGAGAGACUACUGUCUCUGAGCGUGGCUGAGAGAGAGAGAGAGAGAGAGAGAGAGAGAGAGAGAGGACUAGGCUGUGGUGAGAGAGACUACUGUCUCUGAGCGUGGCUGAGAGAGAGAGAGAGAGAGAGAGAGAGAGAGAGAGAGGACUAGGCUGUGGUGAGAGAGACUACUGUCUCUGAGCGUGGCUGAGAGAGAGAGAGAGAGAGAGAGAGAGGACUAGGCUGUGGUGAGAGAGACUACUGUCUCUGAGCGUGGCUGAGAGAGAGAGAGAGAGAGAGAGAGAGAGAGAGAGAGAGAGAGAGAGAGGACUAGGCUGUGGUGAGAGAGACUACUGUCUCUAGGCUUUAUAACCGAGCCACCACGACCAAAACAAAAUGUCGUCUCUGUCUCUGACACAGUGUGUCAUCAGGGAAGUAAACACCUCGUUAUAUAUAUAGAAAACAAAACAAACGCCAAAUGGGGAUUUUAUUUUCGUAUAUUGUACCGUCUCUGUUUAGUCGUAUGUUUACUACAUAAAAAUAAUACAUAUUGAUGCAUUAAAUGCACCUCUGAGAUUAUGUAUAUAUUUCCUAAUAUUAGGCCUAUUAAUAUUUAUUGCUCUGAAAGAAACAAAGCAGAUUUUAUUUUGAAGUCAAAUAUAGAAACAUCUGGUACUACCCCUCCUCUCAGGUCCAUGAGAAGAACAGAACUACCCCUCCUCUCAGGUCCAUGAGAAGAACAGAACUACCCCUCCUCUCAGGUCCAUGAGAAGAACAGAACUACCCCUCCUCCUCUCAGGUCCAUGAGAACAGAACUACCCCUCCUCUCAGGUCCAUGAGAACAGAACUACCCCUCCUCUCAGGUCCAUGAGAACAGAACUACCCCUCCUCUCAGGUCCAUGAGAAGAACAGAACUACCCCUCCUCUCAGGUCCAUGAGAACAGAACUACCCCUCCUCUCAGGUCCAUGAGAACAGAACUACUCCUCCUCUCAGGUCCAUGAGAACAGAACUACCCCUCCUCUCAGGUCCAUGAGAACAGAACUACCCCUCCUCUCAGGUCCAUGAGAAGAACAGAACUACCCCUCCUCUCAGGUCCAUGAGAAGAACAGAACUACCCCUCCUCUCAGGUCCAUGAGAAGAACAGAACUACCCCUCCUCUCAGGUCCAUGAGAACAGAACUACCCCUCCUCUCAGGUCCAUGAGAAGAACAGGAGACAGAAAGAGACAGACUGGGAACAUUACAUGUCCAGGCUUUGACUGACAGAGGACUGGAAGGGACCCGUUGGGACUAACUCGUUAUCAUGCUAUUGAAGGACAACAACAGCCUUGACUGCCACCAAUAAAUAUAACAAUAUUUUUUAUUUAUUUAUAAUAAACUUUUGAAAUAAUUAUAUACACAUCCGGCAACAUUGGAGUACCAGAUGAGGACCGGGGAAGAGACAGAACCAGAACCAGAACCAGGAGACAAUAACAGAAGGACGUCGCGCCCCAAACCCACACCGAGACAAAGAGGCAGCCCAGAAUCCCCACGUCAGGACAUGCCAAGAAGGCUCCUCUCGACCUGGACAGACAAGACAACCAUGUAUUCUGCAACAGCAGUAUUGGAUCAGGACAGACAGACAGACGGACGGCCUAAGGAUCUGCCCCGACCACCACCCUUCUGAUCAGGACAGACAGACAGACGGACGGCCCAAGGAUCUGAUCAGGACAGACAGACAGACGGCCUAAGGAUCUGCCCCAACCACCACCCUUCUGAUCAGGACAGACAGACAGACGGACGGCCCAAGGAUCUGAUCAGGACAGACAGACAGACGGCCUAAGGAUCUGAUCAGGACAGACAGACAGAUGGCUGUCCCAACCACCACCCUUCUGGAAACCUGUGCCUUUAACCAACUCCAUCACAUCCAUUUUGCUUUUGUUUUCUGAUUGUUGUCCAAUUUUGGGUUGGAGCUCUGCUACUGGAUGCAUCUCCCGUACUGUCCUGCCCUCUAGUGGACAACUGGAUACAUCUUCCGUACUGUCCUGCCCUCUAGUGGACAACUGGAUACAUCUUCCGUACUGUCCUGCCCCCUGGUGGACAAGAGAAUACAUCUCCCGUACUGUCCUGCCCUCUAGUGGACAACAGGAUACAUCUCCCGUACUGUCCUGCCCCCUAGUGGACAACUGGAUACAUCUCCCGUACUGUCCUGCCCC
rnacentral:lncRNA from 1 species